rnacentral:lncRNA from 1 species
CAAACACCCACUUGUUUUCAAGGGACGUCUGGCAAGCGCAUUGGCCUGGCCUGACAUAAGACUUAGCCCAGGUACUGGAUCACUUCCUGGAAGAUCACUUCACGCAAGAUGGAUCCUCUCGGCUACCUUCUUCUUUGACUGGCAGAAAGAUGCAGGCGACGAGCAGUGUGAAAUCAUGAGUAACCCUGAAUCGGAUGACUCAUACUCGGCUCUGCCGGAGAGCAUGGCUUUUGGCUGUCUAGGAAAGGAUGCUAAUGAAACCAUGCCUGUCUCUCCAGCACACAUCAAUAUCUGUAGCAAGGGUCGUCUUGAAUUCCUGAUCUUUCUCCCUCCAACUCCCAGACCUGUGCCACCACACUGAUCUGUAGAACAUCAACACAGGAGCCUGGAGAGAGACUCAAAC